rnacentral:rRNA from 1 species
GACGAACGCUGGCGGCGUGCCUAAUACAUGCAAGUCGAACGCAGAGGGGACGGGUGAGUAACACGUGGGUAACCUCCCAUCAGAGGGGAUAACACAUGGAAACAGGUGCUAAACCGAAACUGAUGGAUGGACUCGCGGUGCAUUAGCUAGUUGGUGGGGUAACGGCUCACCUAGGCGACGAUCACCAGCUGGUGUGAAAGGAUGAUCAGCCAAACGGGAACUGAGACACGGCCCAGAAUCCUACGGGAGGCAGCAGUGGUGAAUAUAGCACAAUGGGCGCAAGCCUGAUACAGCCAUGCCGCGUGUAUGAAGAAGGCCUUAGGGUUGUAAAGUACUUUCAGCGGGGAGGCGUUACCCGCAGAAGAAGCACCGGCUAACUCCGUGCCAGCAGCCGCGGUAAUAC